UUUCUUGGAUUUUAAUAAAUAUUUCAGUUAUUUCCACCGAGUUCAGAUAAUUCGGUGGAUUAAUCCUCGUCUUUGGGUUUAGUUGAUCACUUUUCCCCGUUGGGUGAUUAAAUUAACUUCAGUUAAAACAGGUGUUUCAGUAAAACAACAGGAAAUCCUGAGCAAAGUUUGUGUCUGAAAAACAGCAGCUGGAUAAAAAUGGUCAGCAGUUAGGAAGUAAACAUCUGCUGUUUAUAACGAAACGCAUCAGCUUCCUCACUCAGUCCGAUGAAGAUGAGGCGUCUGCAGGUCGUCGUCUUCCUCCUCGCUCUCAGCGGUUUCCGGGCCGCCACCCUGCCGACCGUCCUGGUGGGAGUCGGGGAGGACGCCACGCUGCACUGCCCCCUGCUGGACGGAUCCAACGGUACCAGCAACUCGGCGGACCCAGCCACCCUAAGCUGGUACCGGAAGGCGGCGGGCGGCGGGCCGACGCUGCUGCUGAGCCUCAGCCCUGCUAACGGCUCCGUCGUCAGGUACGGCGACGGCGUCGGCCCGCAGAAAGUAUCCGCCGCCGCUAACGGGUCGCUGGUGCUGCACGGGUCCGAACCGAGCGACUCGGCUGUUUAUUACUGCGGUAUCAGUCACGGCUCCGAGCAGAACAAGAACUCGACGCUGUAGAACCGCAGAGAGAACCGAAGCUGUGGGCUCAUCGGUUCUGAAACGGAUGAUUUGAGUUCAGGAGAAACAAAUAUGGCGGGCAGACAACCUACUGGACCAAUAUGGCGACCUCAACUGAAGAAAAAUAACAUCACAACCGACAGAACCAACA